CGGCCCCGGCAGCGGUUGGUGUGCGAGCGCCCCGCGGCCAUUGUCCUGACGGGGAGCGGGGACGGACCGCUCCGGGGCGCAUGGAGGCCUUCCGUGCGCCGGAGCCUUCUGUGAAUUAUGAGUAACAUGUAUGGAUUGCACAUCUGAGGACAGGCCACACCAGGUGGAGACAGCUGGCCUGGGUUCAUUUGUAUUUAGUUAGACAUCUACAUGACCUAGAUGCCCAGACCCAACCGCCAGCGGGGAGAAGCAAGCUCCUGCACAAGGUGGCAGGCUUCUGGUGGAAAUAGUGCCAAAGGAAGAACAGGAGUCCAGAGGAGAUUUCACACUUUACAGCAAUAUUUAAAGCAUUCUGAAUCUGAUUACAGGAUAUGAGUGAAAGUCACACAGCUUCUUAGUCCUACAUGGCAUUUUUUAAAAGCUGUCAGCACAAAAAAUGAAAUACUAGAACUAAAGCCCCUAAGCAAGUUCCAGCUUCGGUUCAGUACUCAGACGUUGUGUCAGUCAGCACGCAAACAGCUACUGCAAUGGCUGGAUUCACAAGUGCCGUAAGCCACCUUUGGAUCAAAAGCGCCAUUCAGUUUUUCUCACUGUAAAUAUCUUUUAUACAUUCCUCCAGAUUUACUUUGAGAUCAGAAUUUGACUUACAGGCAUUAUCUCUGACAAAUGAAGGGGAAAGGGUGGGUGAAUGUGUGGCACUGUAGCAUCAGGAGGAAAAAAAGGAUAUUGCAGAUGUACUGCUUUUUCAGAUAUAAUAGGAGUAGUAAAUGAACAAACCAACCUUCUGCCAAAAAAAACCCAUACAAAGAUGAUGACUCCUCAAGAAGAAUGCCUUCUCUGUAUAUAAUAAAAAGCAUAUUUCACUGCUCAUAGCUAUAUAUAUACACAUACACAUGCAGAGACAUGGGUACAUUAAUAAUCAAAAAAGUUGGAAAUUUGUCUUAAGAGGUAUUCCAUAUGAGGUCAUUACAUUUUCAUUAUGAAAUACUCUAAGGUAAGAGAUCUCCACAAGAAACCUUUUGAGUCCCCUUUUCCCAAUUCCCACACUAUUCCAUGUAAGAAAGACAAAGAUGGAUUUAAUAAAGGUGCGGCACACAGGAGAGCUGGUAAGAGAUCUCACGUUUUAUUUUUUUUUGGCUUGAAAUCACUGGUUUUGUUUCAAUUUGGCAAAAGGUUCAUGAUAUAAUCCAUGUCAGUAUGUUCUGCCUCCAGCCCCAGUGUUACACUUUCAAUUUUUCCUUCUUUCCCCCCUCCCCCCCCCCCCCCUUAAAAUUAAAUGAAUCUAAAAUAUAGCAUCUAAACAGCAAAAAUGAAUUAAAAAAGCACAGGGAUCAGAUCCAGCUAAUAGAACACAUCACCGUGUGCGUUCAGAAUCAAAGCUGAGCAAGGAAGCCUCUCCCCUGAGGAGAAGACAAUUUCCUUGCCACUGUGCUAAGGCUACUGCAAUGCCACUAAAUAACCAUGCCCUGCAUCUUACCACACCUUCGUCUGUUUCCCUGUCUUUUUUUCUGGACUUGUGUUGCUGCUAAGUGUAGGGCUGGACCGUGUAGAGACUCAGUUAUUGGUAGUAGCUCUUUACAGAGCUGCUUUUUCAAAAUAAAUACAUAAAUGAGAAAGACUAACGAAGUUCUUUAAUUAACGUGGAGCAUACCCUCAGGCUUUGCCUGUAGGUACAGAGCACUGUCUGCAGGAAAGCCCAUUGCACUGACAGGUGGGCUGGGGCUGGGAGAAGCAAAAGUCUCCCAGAGGAACCUGUCAGUCAACAUGGAUCGGUGUUGAUUCCUCCUGUUAGGCAAUUGCUCAAGUAGAAGACUCUUCAAAUUGUUCACGAUCAAGAAGAACUGUUCAAAUAAAAUACUAUGUAAUCUUGCA